GCUUGAAUGAUGACUUGUCAUCUUUUGUCGGAUACCCCUUCACUCUCCAAUGGGUGACAUUUCUCUUCUGACAAGC
ensembl:snoRNA